GGCCAAAGGGGGCGGUGUUGCAAUCUACUGCAGAGAUAGCCUGCAGAGUUCUGUCCUACUAUCCAGGUCUGUACCCAAACAAUUUGAACUUAUACUUUUAAAAAUCCAUCUCUCUAAAAACAAGUCUCUCACCAUUGCCGCCUGCUAUUGACCACCCUCGGCCCCCAGCUGUGCUCUGGACACCAUAUGUGAACUGAUUGCCCCCCAUCUAUCUUCAGAGCUCGUGCUACUAGGUGACCUAAACUGGGACAUGCUUAACACCCCAGCCAUCCUACAAUCCAAGCUUGACGCCCUCAAUCUCACACAAAUUAUUAAUGAACCCACCAGGUACCACCCCAAAGCCGUAAACACUGGCACCCUCAUAGAUAUCAUCCUAACCAAUUUGCCCUCUAAAUACACCUCUGCUGUUUUCAACCAAGAUCUCAGCGAUCACUGCCUCAUUGCCUGCAUCCGUAAUGGGUCUACGGUCAAACGACCUCCACUUAUCACUGUCAAACGCUCCCUGAAACAUUUCAGCGAGCAAGCCUUUCUACUCGACCUUGCCCUGGUAUCCUGGAAGGAUAUUGACCUCAUCCCGUCAGUAGAGGAUGCCUGGUUAUUUUUUUUAAAUGCCUUCCUCUCCCUCUUAAAUAAGCAUGCCCCAUUCAAGAAAUGUAGAUGCAGGAACAGAUAUAGCCCUUGGUUCUCCCCAGACCUGACUGCCCUUAACCAACACAAAAACAUCCUAUGGCAUUCUGCAUUAGCAUCAAACAGCCCCCGUGAUAUGCAACUUUUCAGGGAAGUUAGAAACCAAUAUACACAGGCAGUUAGAAAAGCUAAGGCUAGCUUUUUCAAGCAGAAAUUUGCUUCCUGCACCACAAAUUCAAAAAAGUUCUGGGACAUUGUAAAGUCCAUGGAGAAUAAGAACACCUCCUCCCAACUGCCCACUGCACUGAGGAUAGGAAACUCUGUCACCAACGAUAAACCUACUAUAAUUGAGAAUUUCAAUAAGCAUUUCUCUACGGCUGGCCAUGCUUUCCACCUGGCUACCCCUACUGCAGUCAACAUCACUGCACCCCCC
rnacentral:lncRNA from 8 species